CCUAAAGUUUUAGUUUUGAGACAUUAGUGUCUUAGCUAAGUUUCCACCAAAUUUCAGACCUUUUCGGCAAUGUUUACUAUUUUUCAAAAAUCAAUGUUUUCGAUUGCUCAAAACUGCCGAAUAUGGUAGACUUUAGUAAAACAGUCAUAUCUCCUAAAAUACUUGGAUUUUUUGAUCCUACUUUUUUUUAUAUGAAAGUAGACGCAAAGAGGUUUCUUUUGGUAUAGAUUACGACUCCAGUGGAGUUUGGUACGCAGUCUGGUGGGGUUUUGAAGUCGAGUCAGUGCAGAGUGAAGGUUGUUUUGACUUGUCUAUGUGUGAAUUUUAUAUGCUUAUGUGUUUAUGCUUGUUUAUGUGCUUGAAUGCUAUGAGUAUGAUCCAAGUUGAGAGUUAAGUCGAGAGUAGGACGUGUGAAUCCUUAGAAGUUGAGUAUACCUAGGGAUUGAGUUUUAGUGGGUAAAUAGACGUUGAAUGAGAAGUUAUGGUUUGAGAUGAGAUUGGUUUUAGUAAUGAGUUCUAACUAAGGUUUGUUUUAUCACAUGAACCUUCGAUGACGAUGAUGAUGAAUUAUGAAGGCCGAGCGAGACGAAGAAGUAAGUCGCUUGUUUUCUUUCCGAAACUAGCGAAGGACUUCAGACUAAGCGAGGAGCGAGAUUGGACUGGUGCUGGUGGGGAAUUGUUAGAGGAUGUAUUUACUUUAUCGCAUUUCCAUUUUGACGAUAAAGUCUUGAUGAUUGAUAUAUAUAUACUUUGAUUUUCUUUUGAAUUUAAGCAAUGUACUCACGGUUAUAUGUCUUCAUACAUAUAAUCGAUUCGCCUUUUGCUGCGAUACUCUGCAUAUUAUUCUUCCUUACGAAAAAUGAGCUAUACCCGUUUUGUUUU